rnacentral:rRNA from 1 species
GAUGAACGCUAGCGGCAGGCCUAACACAUGCAAGUCGAGGGAGAAGCCCUUUCGGGGGCAGAAACCGGCGCACGGGUGCGUAACGCGUAUGCAACCUACCUUUCACAGGGGGAUAGCCCGAAGAAAUUUGGAUUAAUACCCCAUAAUAUUAUUGGAUGGCAUCAUUUGAUAAUUAAAACUGCGGUGGUGAAAGAUGGGCAUGCGUCCUAUUAGCUAGUUGGAGUGGUAACGGCACCCCAAGGCUACGAUAGGUAGGGGUCCUGAGAGGGAGAUCCCCCACACUGGUACUGAGACAGGGACCAGACUCCUACGGGAGGCAGCAGUGAGGAAUAUUGGUCAAUGGUCGGAAGACUGAACCAGCCAUGCCGCGUGCAGGAAGAAUGCCUUAUGGGUUGUAAACUGCUUUUAUAUGGGAAGAAUAAGGCGUACGUGUACGUUGAUGACGGUGCCAUAUGAAUAAGCAUCGGCUAACUCCGUG